rnacentral:rRNA from 1 species
UCAGAAUGCGGAAGUGCCGUAAGGAACCGAGAGACAGGUGCUGCAUGGCUGUCGUCCCCUCGUGUCGUGAGAUGUUGGGUUAAGUCCCGUAACGAGCGCAACCCUUGUCCUUAGUUGCCAGCACGUAAUGGUGGGAACUCUAAGGAGACCGCCGGUGAUAAACCGGAGGAAGGUGGGGAUGAUGUCAAGUCAUCAUGGCCUUUAUGGGUAGGGCUACACACGUGCUACAAUGGGCAGUACAAAGGGUUGCCAAACCGUAAGGUGGAGCCAAUCUC